rnacentral:rRNA from 1 species
AAAAAAGGUAAGCUACUAAGAGCGAAUGGUGGAUGCCUUGACUGGUAAAGGCGAUGAAGGACGUACUAGACUGCGAUAAGCUACGGGGAGCUGUCAAGAAGCUUUGAUCCGUAGAUUUCCGAAUGGGGCAACCCAAUGUAUAGAGAUAUACAUUACCUAUAUAGGAGCGAACGAGGGGAAUUGAAACAUCUUAGUACCCUCAGGAAAAGAAAUCAAUAGAGAUUGCGUCAGUAGCGGCGAGCGAAAGCGCAAGAGGGCAAACCCAGUGCUUGCACUGGGGGUUGUAGGACUGCAAUGUGCAAGAGGUGAGUUUAGCAGAACAUUCUGGAAAGUAUAGCCAUAGAGGGUGAUAGUCCCGUAUGCGAAAAACAAACCUUAGCUAGCAGUAUCCUGAGUAGGGCGGGACACGAGAAAUCCUGUCUGAAGCUGGGUCGACCACGAUCCAACCCUAAAUACUAAUACCAGAUCGAUAGUGCACAAGUACCGUGAGGGAAAGGUGAAAAGAACUGAGGUGAUCAGAGUGAAAUAGAACCUGAAACCAUUUGCUUACAAUCAUUCAGAGCCCUAUGUAGCAAUACAGGGUGAUGGACUGCCUUUUGCAUAAUGAGCCUGCGAGUUGUGGUGUCUGGCAAGGUUAAGCAAACGCGAAGCCGUAGCGAAAGCGAGUCUGAAUAGGGCGCUUAGUCAGAUGCUGCAGACCCGAAACGAAGUGAUCUAUCCAUGAGCAAGUUGAAGCUAGUGUAAGAACUAGUGGAGGACUGAACCCAUAGGCGUUGAAAAGCCCCGGGAUGACUUGUGGAUAGGGGUGAAAGGCCAAUCAAACUUCGUGAUAGCUGGUUCUCUCCGAAAUAUAUUUAGGUAUAGCGUUGUGUCGUAAUAUAAGGGGGUAGAGCACUGAAUGGGCUAGGGCAUACACCAAUGUACCAAACCCUAUCAAACUCCGAAUACCUUAUAUGUAAUCACAGCAGUCAGGCGGCGAGUGAUAAAAUCCGUCGUCAAGAGGGAAACAACCCAGACUACCAGCUAAGGUCCCUAAAUCUUACUUAAGUGGAAAACGAUGUGAAGUUACUUAAACAACCAGGAGGUUGGCUUAGAAGCAGCCAUCCUUUAAAGAAAGCGUAAUAGCUCACUGGUCUAGUGAUUUUGCGCGGAAAAUAUAACGGGGCUAAAGUAAGUACCGAAGCUGUAGACUUGAUUUUAUCAAGUGGUAGGAGAGCGUUCUAUUUGCGUCGAAGGUAUACCGGUAAGGAGUGCUGGAGCGAAUAGAAGUGAGCAUGCAGGCAUGAGUAGCGAUAAUUAAUGUGAGAAUCAUUAACGCCGUAAACCCAAGGUUUCCUACGCGAUGCUCGUCAUCGUAGGGUUAGUCGGGUCCUAAGUCGAGUCCGAAAGGGGUAGACGAUGGCAAAUUGGUUAAUAUUCCAAUACCAACAUUAGUGUGCGAUGGAAGGACGCUUAGGGCUAAGGGGGCUAGCGGAUGGAAGUGCUAGUCUAAGGUCGUAGGAGGUUAUACAGGCAAAUCCGUAUAACAAUACUCCGAGAACUGAAAGGCUUUUUGAAGUCUUCGGAUGGAUAGAAGAACCCCUGAUGCCGUCGAGCCAAGAAAAGUUUCUAAGUUUAGCUAAUGUUGCCCGUACCGUAAACCGACACAGGUGGGUGGGAUGAGUAUUCUAAGGCGCGUGGAAGAACUCUCUUUAAGGAACUCUGCAAAAUAGCACCGUAUCUUCGGUAUAAGGUGUGGUUCGCUUCGUAUUAGGAUUUACUCCGAAAGCGAAGAAACUUACAACAAAGAGUCCCUCCCGACUGUUUACCAAAAACACAGCACUCUGCUAACUCGUAAGAGGAUGUAUAGGGUGUGACGCCUGCCCGGUGCUCGAAGGUUAAUUGAUGGGGUUAGCAUUAGCGAAGCUCUUGAUCGAAGCCCGAGUAAACGGCGGCCGUAACUAUAACGGUCCUAAGGUAGCGAAAUUCCUUGUCGGUUAAAUACCGACCUGCAUGAAUGGCGUAACGAGAUGGGAGCUGUCUCAAAGAGGGAUCCAGUGAAAUUGUAGUGGAGGUGAAAAUUCCUCCUACCCGCGGCAAGACGGAGAGACCCCGUGGACCUUUACUACAGCUUGACACUGCUAUUUGGAUAAGAAUGUGCAGGAUAGGUGGGAGGCUUUGAGUAUAUGACGCCAGUUGUAUAUGAGCCAUUGUUGAGAUACCACUCUUUCUUAUUUGGGUAGCUAACCAGCUUGAGUUAUCCUCAAGUGGGACAAUGUCUGGUGGGUAGUUUGACUGGGGCGGUCGCCUCCCAAAUAAUAACGGAGGCUUACAAAGGUUGGCUCAGAACGGUUGGAAAUCGUUCGUAGAGUAUAAAGGUAUAAGCCAGCUUAACUGCAAGACAUACAAGUCAAGCAGAGACGAAAGUCGGUCUUAGUGAUCCGGUGGUUCUGUGUGGAAGGGCCAUCGCUCAAAGGAUAAAAGGUACCCCGGGGAUAACAGGCUGAUCUCCCCCAAGAGCUCACAUCGACGGGGAGGUUUGGCACCUCGAUGUCGGCUCAUCGCAUCCUGGGGCUGGAGCAGGUCCCAAGGGUAUGGCUGUUCGCCAUUUAAAGCGGUACGCGAGCUGGGUUCAGAACGUCGUGAGACAGUUCGGUCCCUAUCUGCCGUGGGCGUAAGAAGAUUGAAGAGAUUUGACCCUAGUACGAGAGGACCGGGUUGAACAAACCACUGGUGUAGCUGUUGUUCUGCCAAGAGCAUCGCAGCGUAGCUAAGUUUGGAAAGGAUAAACGCUGAAAGCAUCUAAGCGUGAAGCCAACUCUAAGAUGAAUCUUCUCUAAGCUCUCUAGAAGACUACUAGUUUGAUAGGCUGGGUGUGUAAUGGAUGAAAGUCCUUUAGCUGACCAGUACUAAUAGAGCGUUUGGCUUAUCUUUAAUAAAGCAU